GGUGUUUCUCAGGUGACACACCUUGGAAUCAAGCUCCCUUCUCCCUGGUUCCGGGUGUAUCACCAAAGAACUGCC
rfam:Myotis lucifugus cont2.64204, whole genome shotgun sequence.